GAGAGUUGGGUCAUAGUUCUUUUAUUCUGUCACAUGGCCCACGAGUAGGGACAGUGUUUUCAAAAGUGAUGUUUUUUGGAUUAGGUUUGGAAACGAACCGGACAAUCAAUUUCUUUCAGAACCGAACCGAACCAAAAUCAUUUUGAAUUUAUCAUUUGGGUUUAGCAGUCACGCUAAAACGUGUUUUAGCUGUUGGUAUCACAAAUUAACAUGAGAAGAUGAAAAGUAUGGAACUGAGAUGAUUUUUCAGCAAGGAAAGAUUAAAAAAAAAAAAAUUGAAAUCAGGGUUCCUUAGCUAACACGCAACCUACACCGUUCGACAAAAUCUACUAAUAUGAACAACUUCUUAUAACCUAAAACAUGUCCUUACAUGACUAUUCUCUUUCUCAUGUAACACACUUUCUUAUAAGCCGCUAUAUCAUUUGUAAUGCUUCAUGUAAAAGUAAAACAGUAAAAGAGGUUACUAAGUGAAUUGUUUUGGUCAAGUGACUUAUGUUCUUGCUGGGAGCUACUUUUUUUGUAGCUGGGGGCCUGGCUACAGCCCCCAGCAUGUUUGGGUCAUUGCUUCUUGUUUGGGGGUCUUGUUAAAGAAGGGAUCUUAGAGAAGCAGUGACUUGACCAAAAAAAGAAGAAGAAGCCAGUGAAUACCAGAUUACCAGCCCAGCUAAAACCAUUUGUGUACCAAAGCAUGGCUGCUUCUUCCCCAUCUUAACUCAGCCUAUUUGCACUAUCUUCUUCCUCUCUAUUUUGCCAUUUUAGAUAUGUGAAUCUAAGGGGUCAUCAUCACUUGCUAACCAAAACUCAGAUAAAUCUAAACGUUCCCAUAUGAAUAACACAACAAUCCAGGCAUGAAACAAGUAUCAUAUAUUAUUGUUUUUGACUAUAUUCGUUUUACAUGAGCUCUGAAAUAUACAGAAUCUUGCAAGGUGGUGAAUAGAUGUAGAAAUGUAAUAACAAAAUUCUAUAACAUUACUUAAAGUUAAAAGGUACCUAAAUGUGAAUAAGAAAUGGGCUUAAAAUCACAAACGCCACAAAACAGAAAAACAGACAGACAAAACUAGCAAAGAAACAAAGCCCAACGUCUGAUACUAAGGACUUGAUCACCAGUGUAGUCUGAAUGGUAAUUACUUCUGGUCUAGUGUAUUUAUUGUCCGUAAUGAAGCAAAUCUCCUUCACCCUUGGUCUGCAAAUCUCUUCGUAUUUUCUUCAUGGCUCCGCAAAAAAGGUACAAAUUAAGAGACAAUCUUAGAUGAAAAAGUUAGUUUUAUACCAUUAGCUAAGAAUACUUUAUAAUAGAAUUAUUUUAUUUUAGAAUAAAAUAUAUCUAUACUAAUAAAGUAGCUCAGAAAGGCUCCACAGGCAGCCACCUCACCUCACCAUAUUCUAAAAAUCGACACGUGUCCACUUCUGAAAAAGCUAUCGGCAAGUUAUGUUUUCGAUCUGUUUUCAUUAUGUUUUAAUUCUGUGUUAAUGGGCCCAUUUCUUAUAUCAUUUUUGAUUUCUAAGGGUCUUAUGAAUAUUUGAACCAGACCCAUUAGCUUAAAGGUUUUCACCUCAUAACUCUUCUAUCCUUCUGUUGCAUCAAUGGCGUUCCUCCUUCGGAUCUCUCCAAAUCCGAGCAACGUCUUUGUAACGGUUAUCAUUUAUUUCGCACUGUUUUCUUCAAUUCAUCAAAACCAUAAAUGGUCAUAGAUUUAACUAUUAGAAUCUCUAUUUACAAGAAGCUUCAAUGUGCUUUUAUCAUCCACUCCAUCUCUUUCAUUAAUCAUUUAUGAAACGUAUUAUGAAUCUGAUACGAAGAGACCCAUUCCAUUGAUGCCAAGCACUUCAAAAUGUCUUAUUAAGUGAAUGAGAUCACUGGUCUUAGACUUUCAAAUAUCCUAAGGAAUCAGGGCAAAUCAUUCUUGCGUAGCAAAUAUGAAUAUGAUAAACAAGGUAACAAGGCUAGAUAAUACUUUUGUUGUUGUCUCAAAAUCAAUUUUUUUUAUUGACAGCAACACACAGCACAUGUGAAGCUGUUAACUGAUUUUCCAGUCGAUGCCGCAACUAACAGCGAAUAAGACGGACGCAUAAAAUUCAUUUUUUGCCGCUGGUGCUGGACGUGGCGUUUAUGAAACGAGCAGGGCUAUCUUCAACGCCUAAGAACUACUCAUCCAAACAGAUUGAUAGCCCAAGCAAUCCAGCCGUCAGGUAGCAACGAAUUAAGAUGAGUUGGUGGCGAUGCAAGUGUUAUGGUGGUAGGAAUCAAGUUCGGGUAGGUCCAGGAAAGUGUGGAACCGUGUUCUUCUGGUGAGGGUACAUUUUUUAUAGAGAAAGUAAGGAGAUAAGAGUGUGAAGCCAUUGCUGAUGAGUCCUGAUCUGGUGUUUGAUAUAACACUGGACCUGUAACGAUUUUCUAUAUAGAAGGUGGAAGUCAAGACAUUAUAAGCUAUGGAGUUUGAUUCAGUGCACUGCUUCUACGAUGAAGGAAUAAGGAAAUGCCGUAACGAUGGUGCCACAUGUUGAGUUGACCGCUUAGAUAAAAAAGUCACGUUUACGCUAUGAAGUAAUGUAUUUCUGUGAAACAGUGUGUGUGAGUAGCAUGUGGACAGUGCGUGUUCUUUCGUCAGUAGACUGACUGCAAGUGGCUCUCUGUUAUUAGUAUGCAUUCUUCCAAUUAAACUCCUUUGAUAUGUACAGCACACCAUUUGAACGAUCUCUUUAACAUGUUCUUCACCGUUGUAGGAAUAUCUAAAAUGUUAUGUUCGUAACAAUAAACUGUACAUCAUGAUAACAUUUUUUAUGAUUAUAAAACAAUAAAAAAAGAGUUGCAACAA